CCAGCCCGACUCAGCCUCGCCCCGCGGUACAGCCAGCCCGCUCGAGCCGGAGCCGGAGGUCUUGCGGGCCUAACCUCCCCCGCGCGGCCCGGGAUGGGGCCCCGAUCCGGGGCGCACCGCCUCCGGGUCUCGGGGACCGUCUCCGCUGCGAGAGUCUGAAGCGCCGCCGCCCUGGGGUGGGUGGACGGCCAGGCGUGGGGGCUGAGCCGCUGAGUGACCUUGGCAAGGCCGACCUGGCUCGGUGGACGACGCGCAGAUGUUUUCAAGUCAGAAAACAUUUACUGAGCACCAACUGUGUACAAGAUGAACAUCUGCAACAAGCCCUCUAACAAGACAGCCCCUGAGAAGAAUGUGUGGACAGCACCUGCACAGGCCAGCGGACCCUCCCCGGAGCUGCAGGGCCAGCGGUCCCGCCGGAAUGGGUGGAGCUGGCCCCCUCACCCGCUCCAGAUUGUGGCCUGGCUGCUGUACCUCUUCUUUGCUGUGAUUGGCUUUGGGGUCCUUGUUCCCCUCCUGCCUCACCACUGGGUGCCUGCUGGCUAUGCUUGCAUGGGCGCCAUCUUUGCUGGUCACCUCGUGGUGCACCUGACUGCUGUUUCCAUCGACCCAGCAGAUGCCAAUGUGCGGGACAAGAGCUAUGCUGGGCCCCUGCCCAUCUUCAACCGCAGCCAACAUGCACACGUCAUUGAAGACCUGCACUGCAACUUGUGCGACGUGGAUGUCAUUCCCAGGUAUGGGCAGAGAGGGGAGCAACACUUGACUCCUUACCAUGUGCUAAGUGCUUAUGAACAACCACCCUGCAGAGUGGGCAACAUCUUUCUCACUUCACAGAGGAGGAAGAGUCCAAUGCUCAGAAAGGCUGAGUGGCCUGAGGCGCGGGUGGGUGACCCGCUCCAGGCGGGGAACCGGCAACCCCCAAGCCAGGCCGGGCAGCAAAAGGCGGGAGAAGCCCGCAACCGUGCUGUGCCCCCUCCCCACCGCAGGAGUGCUCGUUCCAAGCACUGCAGCGCCUGCAACAAAUGCGUGUGCGGCUUCGACCACCACUGCAAGUGGCUCAACAACUGCGUGGGCGAGAGGAACUACCGGCUCUUUCUACACAGUGUGGCAUCUGCCUUACUGGGCGUCCUGCUCCUCGUGCUGGUGGCCACUUAUGUCUUUGUGGAGUUCUUUGUCAACCCCAUGCAGCUGCGUACCAACCGCCACUUUGAAGUCUGCCUGUGCCUUGCAGUCUUGAAGAAUCACACAGAUGUGUGGUUCGUGUUCCUGCCUGCUGCCCCUGUGGAGACACAGGCUCCUGCCAUCCUGGCUCUGGCUGCCCUUCUCAUCCUUCUGGGCCUGCUCUCCACAGCCCUGCUCGGCCACCUGCUCUGCUUCCACAUUUAUCUCAUGUGGCACAAGCUCACCACCUAUGAAUACAUCGUGCAGCAUCGUCCGCCCCAGGAGGCAAAGGGGGCCCACAGGGAGCUUGAGUCAUGUCCCCCCAGGAUGCGGCCCAUUCAGGAGAUGGAGUUCUACAUGCGGACCUUCAGCCAUGUGCGCCCAGAGCCCCCUGGCCAGGCCAGGCCUGCCUCAGUGAAUGCUAACUCCUCCCGGUUCCUUGCCACCCGCGGCCACGUGGAGCCUCCACCGCCCUCCUCCCCAGAGACUCUCGCUCUGCCCCCCCGGAUCCGACCCCAGAAAAAAAGGAAGCGGCGCAUGUAUAAGGUACGGACCUCCAGAGCCUUGGACCGGGAGGCCCCGUUGUCCAGGCUGCCGGGUGAGCGCCCCUUCCUGACCGGAUCCUGCUCGGGGAGCUACGAGGGAGGGAAAGGGUGGCAUGGCAGCGAGCACAGAUGUGGCUGGGCUGGAGGAAAGCUUCCGCAAGUUUGCCAUCCAUGGUGAUCCCAAGGCCAGUGGGCACGAGCUGAAUGGCAAGAACUGGGCCAAGCUGUGCAAGGACUGCAAGGUGGCUGACGGAAAGGCUGUGACAGGGACUGAUGUCGACAUCGUCUUCUCCAAAGUCAAGGGGAAGUCUGCCCGGGUCAUCAACUAUGAGGAGUUCAAGAAGGCCCUAGAAGAGCUGGCACCCAAGCGAUUCAAGGGGAAGAGCAAGGAGGAGGCCUUUGAUGCCAUCUGUCAGCUGGUGGCAGGCAAGGAACCAGCCAAUGUGGGUGUUACUAAAGCAAAAACAGGGGGUGCUGUGGAACGCCUGACUGACACCAGCAAGUACACGGGCUCCCACAAGGAACGCUUCGACGAGAGCGGCAAGGGCAAGGGCAUUGCUGGGCGGCAGGACAUCCUGGAUGACAGUGGCUAUGUGAGUGCCUACAAGAAUGCAGGUACCUAUGAUGCCAAGGUGAAGAAGUGAGGCCUGGGAAGGCCCCCCCUAGCACGGCUGCCCCUGCCAAAGGCUCAGGCCUGCGCCUAAGGGGCAUGUGGAGCAAGAGAGCCCGGUCCCCUCCUUGCUGGAUCUGCCGCCCAGCGCUUCCUGCCCAGCCCUAUGGGGCCAGCCCACCAGACCUCUGACCCAGAUUGCUCUGCAUCCCCUUCCCCUUUUUCUUUCCCCCUCGACUUCUGUCUGUCUGAGGAGAGUCUGUGCCUAUAGGCUCACCACCCCAGCCUCGCCCCGGGCAUGGCUAACCCCUGCCUGCUUGCCUCAUAUUUAAGCUGCUGCUCUGGCCAAGUGCCUAAUUCUUACCCGGACCUCAAUAAAGCCACCUUUUGUACCAA